rnacentral:rRNA from 1 species
AUUGAACGCUGGCGGCAGGCCUAACACAUGCAAGUCGAACGGAAACAGGAAGAAGCUUGCUUCUUUGCUGACGAGUGGCGGACGGGUGAGUAAUGUCUGGGAAACUGCCUGAUGGAGGGGGAUAACUACUGGAAACGGUAGCUAAUACCGCAUAACGUUGCAAGACCAAAGAGGGGGACCUUCGGGCCUCUUGCCAUCGGAUGUGCCCGGAUGGGAUUAGCUAGUAGGUGGGGUAACGGCUCACCUAGGCGACGAUCCGUAGCUGGUCUGAGAGGAUGACCGGCCACACUGGAACUGAGACACGGUCCAGACUCCUACGGGAGGCAGCAGUGGGGAAUCUUGCACAAUGGGCGCAAGCCUGAUGCAGCCAUGCCGCGUGUAUGAAGAAGGCCUUCGGGUUGUAAAGUACUUUCAGCGGGGAGGAAGGGAGUAAAGUUAAUACCUUUGCUCAUUGACGUUACCCGCAGAAGAAGCACCGGCUAACUCCGUG